rnacentral:misc_RNA from 1 species
GAAUAUCCUGUUUGUUGUUGU